rnacentral:pre_miRNA from 1 species
AAGUAGGGACAGGGGUUUCUGUCGGCCUCCAGCCGUUAAAGCUUGUUGUAGGCCGACGGAAACUACUUGCCUCUACUU